rnacentral:lncRNA from 1 species
CUCUCACUUUCUAUAAGUCCACCAACAUUGCGUUAAUUUUGUGUAGGCUCCUCUAGAUUCAUACCAGAAAAAGGGAUCUUGAAAUUUUAUGAAGGAUGCUAUUGAUUCAUACUACAGUAAGAUAGAGUUACACUGCCAAUAAUACUAAUAAAAAAGUUUUGAAACUUUAAUGAAUUAACUAUAAUGCAAAAUAGUUAUUUGAUAAGUAUUACGAGAGAAAUGAGAGAGAUUAGAGAG